UAUCUUUAUAUACCAUUUUUGGUAGUUGAUUUUUUCAAUGUUUUGGAUAUAAUCUUCUUGAGAUACGUUUAAUGGUUCUUUGAAUGGGGUUUCGUUUGAUGUACUGGAUGAGGGUUUAUCGCUUUGGAUGAGUGCUAAUUUAGCAUCGAAUUCUAAUUGUUUUAAAGCUUGUUGAUUAACAAUUGUUUGUAAUUCUUUAAUUUG
rnacentral:lncRNA from 1 species